rnacentral:rRNA from 1 species
UACGUAGGGAGCAAGCGUUAUCCGGAUUUAUUGGGUGUAAAGGGUGCGUAGACGGGAAAUCAAGUUGGUUGUGAAAUCCCUCGGCUUAACUGAGGAACUGCAACCAAAACUAAUUUUCUUGAGUGCUGGAGAGGAAAGUGGAAUUCCUAGUGUAGCGGUGAAAUGCGUAGAUAUUAGGAGGAACACCAGUGGCGAAGGCGACUUUCUGGACAGUAACUGACGUUGAGGCACGAAAGUGUGGGGAGCAAACAGG